rnacentral:rRNA from 1 species
UACGGAGGAUGCGAGCGUUAUCCGGAUUUAUUGGGUUUAAAGGGUGCGUAGGUUGUUUUUUAAGUCAGCGGUGAAAGUUUGUGGCUCAACCAUAAAAUUGCCGUUGAAACUGGCAGUCACGAGUUGGAGAGAAGUAUGCGGAAUGCGCGGUGUAGCGGUGAAAUGCAUAGAUAUCGCGCAGAACUCCGAUUGCGAAGGCAGCAUGCCGGCUCCACACUGACGCUGAGGCACGAAAGCGUGGGUAUCGAACAGG